AUGUCAGGAGGGCACCUUCAUGUCAAUUCCUUGUAUCUCUCCCAUGUUUCAUAGAGAGUUUCACCAUCUUGUUGUUUGAACAUUUGUACCUCAGCCCUCAAUCU